AGAGGAAAUUGCAGACAGGGGAAGAGGGGCUGAAGGAAGCUUCCUGCUCUUGAGGAUUCCCUGGCUGCUGGCCUACAUAGAGAGUAAAGCUCACAUAUUGGCUGGGAAUGCGUUCCAGAUCCUGGAAACUGGAGCUGCUACCAGUUAAACUUCACAGGACACUCCAGCCAUGUGUGCAAUUCCAGCACAGAGACUAUUCAAAUGGGAAUGCAAAAGUGGGCUAAGGGAGUCCAGCCUGGUUUUGAAUGCUCGUGUGAACCACCAGGAUCUGGCACCACAGGGUGGCACGUCCCAGCACCCCAACCCCAGGAGCGCCACUGCUCAUCUGGGCAGGUGAUCUGCCUGCUCAGGGACUGGCAGAUGAUUGUCUUCGGGAAAGGUAAGUAAAACCUUUCUUUCCUACAGACAGCCCGGUAGCUCUUACAGAUGGUGAGAAGAGCUUCAUACAGUUAUGUGUUAGGUAUUUACACUGAACAAGAAGCAUGAAAGCAUGUUCCUACUCUUUUUCAUUUUUUAAAGUUUUUUUGAUAUGUAAAUAGUUUUUUAAAAAUGCAUGAAGCAUCAGGAAAAUUCAUAGAGUUUAUAAAGGUGAAAGUUGUGAAGCAGGCAAGAAUUUUAGUCAAGGCAAUUGGCUAAUGAAAGAUGACUUGUGACUUCAGAAACAUCCUCAUGUUCUCCAAAAAGGAUCAGUUUCUUUUUCCAUUCCAAGCCAUUUCUUUACAUCAUGCACUUAAUAAUAAAUGCAGAAGAGUUAUACUGACCCUGUAUUACUUGAUUUCUGUGUGUCAGAGCCACAGAGACAGUAAAAUGUCAUUAUAAUUUCAGUACCACAGCACAGGAGCUAACAAAGCUAAAGUAAGUUGUCAUCCAGGUGUAGUGCAGUAGAUAAACCUCCUCCAAACUCAUCCUGCCCUGAGGGAGGAGGGCUCAUUGGCUCCGUGAAUCUAGUUUCCACUUAAAUUAGAAUAAAACUCCAAGCAAGUUCAGUAUACAAAACAAACAAAUACUGUGAACUUUAUAAGAAAGGCUGGGCUGGAAACAAAAAGGCCAAAAUUAAAAGUUCACUAUAAAAUAUUCCAACAGAAAUGUUUCUCAUUUUAGUUUCUCACCAGGCCAUGUAAAUUAUAAUGAAUAAAGCAUUCAAGCAAGCAAACAUUGUUGGUCUAGAAGUGGCAUACUUUCCCUCUAUGUGGUUAAGCAUAUAAAAGGAGGAGGUUUAGUAUAGAAGGUUUAGCAGAUACAUAGGCUGAGCCUAUGCCUAUAUACUCAGAAGUAAGCCUCACUAUAUUUAACAGAGCUUACUCCCAUUUAAAUUUGUGUAGAAUUGCAGCUUAUGACAUAAUUCCUCAUUAUAUUUGGAAAAACUGACUGAAAAAGAAGUUUUGUGGUUUGGAUCCAAACAUUACAGUUUUGAAAAAAACACAAAGAGGAAAUAAGGUAUGUGGUGUUGUUGGUUUUUUGGGUUUUUUUGCCCAGGACAGAUUCUUCAGUAGAAAGUGAUUUUGCUAAUGGUUUUGGAAGAGCUACUUUCUGAGCUCAUGAAACUCUGGCUAUUGGGUUUAAUUUAAGUACGUAGCACAUACAUUGCCUGGAACUAGUGCCCCAACUACUCAAAUAAGAGUUCUAAGAUGCGCUUGAUUAUAUUAUAGCUAUUAGACACAUAGAGCUAAGUUGGUUAGUUUGAUUUUGCCCAAGUCCCGCAUUUCAACUAAACAGGUCACACUAGCCAACUGAAGUGCUGACAUAACAUACUGGUUGAGAAAUGGGACAACUUACUUUUGGCUUAGCCAGCUGCUUAAUCUUCUCUAUUUCUUCAUCAGAUAAGACAUCAUAGUACCUGACAAUGUGUGGGCUGUCCCAUUCAUCUUCUUCCUUAAAUGGUGCUAUAAGCAGGUGAGGACUUUUGUUUCCAUCGUGAUACCUACAAAACAACCUCUUCUUUCUUCGAGGUGUCUGUGAACAAAUCCAGAUGGACACACUACUAUUUUAAAUGCUGAAUAUAAUUAAACUAAGAUGUCCUACACAUCUGGUAUUUCAUGUGGACUAUUUAAUAAAUAUCAUCUAGCUGUUGUAA